AACGAUGUCGACUUGGAGGUUGUGCCCUGAGGCGUGGCUUCCGGAGCUAACGCGUUAAGUCGACCGCCUGGGGAGUACGGCCGCAAGGUUAAAACUCAAAUGAAUUGACGGGGGCCCGCACAAGCGGUGGAGCAUGUGGUUUAAUUCGAUGCAACGCGAAGAACCUUACCUGGCCUUGACAUCCAGAGAACUUAGCAGAGAUGCUUUGGUGCCUUCGGGAACUCUGAGACAGGUGCUGCAUGGCUGUCGUCAGCUCGUGUUGUGAAAUGUUGGGUUAAGUCCCGCAACGAGCGCAACCCUUAUCCUUUGUUGCCAGCGGUUCGGCCGGGAACUCAAAGGAGACUGCCGGUGAUAAACCGGAGGAAGGUGGGGAUGACGUCAAGUCAUCAUGGCCCUUACGGCCAGGGCUACACACGUGCUACAAUGGCGCAUACAAAGAGAAGCGACCUCGCGAGAGCAAGCGGACCUCAUAAAGUGCGUCGUAGUCCGGAUUGGAGUCUGCAACUCGACUCCAUGAAGUCGGAAUCGCUAGUAAUCGUAGAUCAGAAUGCUACGGUGAAUACGUUCCCGGGCCUUGUACACACCGCCCGUCACACCAUGGGAGUGGGUUGCAGAAGAAGUAGGUAGCUUAACCUCCGGGAGGGCGCUUACCACUUUGUGAUUCAUGACUGGGGUGAAGUCGUAACAAGGUAACCAAGGGCGAAUUCCAG
rnacentral:rRNA from 1 species